AACGAACGCUGGCGGCAUGCCUAACACGUGCAAGUCGGACGCGUGGUUUCGGCCACGAGUGGCGGACGGGUGAGUAACGCGUGGGAACCUGCCCAUCGGUACGGAACAACCGCGGGAAACUGCGGCUGAUACCGUAUAUACCCUGCGGGGGAAAGAUUUAUCGCCGAUGGAGGGGCCCGCGUCGGAUUAGGUAGUUGGUGGGGUAACGGCCUACCAAGCCUGCGAUCCGUAGCUGGUCUGAGAGGAUGAUCAGCCACACUGGGACUGAGACACGGCCCAGACUCCUACGGGAGGCAGCAGUGGGGAAUAUUGGACAAUGGGGGCAACCCUGAUCCAGCAAUGCCGCGUGAGUGAAGAAGGCCUUAGGGUUGUAAAGCUCUUUCGGCGGGGACGAUGAUGACGGUACCCGCAGAAGAAGCCCCGGCUAACUCCGUGCCAGCCGCCGCAGUAA
rnacentral:rRNA from 1 species